UCCUUUUGUUGUGAUGGCCGCCGCGGAGCCAGAAGUUCGGGUUUCUGCCUUUCGGGACGGCCUGGGGGGCUCUCUGUACUGUCAGAAGGCCACCAGCAGCCCCCAGGUUGCCCAGGAUGUCAUUUUCAAAUGCACGACUUGUCAUUUCAUGACAAACAGUAUUACUUCUUGCUUGACACUGAUGAAAUACAUAUUUGUGCAAGACUUACUAAGACAGUAUAAGAAGUCCUUGAUUCACAUAAGAGAAUAGAAGAAAGCAGUGCUAUAAGCCAGCCACUAUGUUGGAAGUGCAGUUAUCCUGAAAUCACUGUUGUGAGAAGCCCAAAGUCGUAUAAAGAGGUCCUGGUGGAUGAGGCAUAAAGUAAAAGGCCAAGGAACCAGACCUGUAAGUGAAGAAGCCAUUUUGGAAAUGGAUCCUCCAGCUCAACUGCCUUGGCUGUUGCUACAUAAAUCAGAUGAACCCCAUGGUGGAACCCCUCCCAAUUUUUGUCCCAUGAAAUUAUGAACAAAAUUAAAUGGUUUGUUUCAAG